UCCUGUAGGUGAACCUGCGGAAGGAUCAUUAU
rnacentral:rRNA from 1 species